GGAAUAAUUCCGGAAUAACGCAUAUAUGCUGAAAUGCUUUAUGCGUAAAAUGGAUUUCGUUUUGCCCAAGAAUGGUUUUCCGGCCUAUCAGGUAGUAGUGGGUGUAGUGUACCUACUAGCCUACAACGGGUACGGGUUGUGAGAGCAAGAGCCCGAAGAUGGAUUUUGAGACAUGAAUCCAGGCCCUACGGGGCGCAGCAGGCGCGAAAACUUUACAAUGCGGGAAACCGUGAUAAGGGGACACCGAGUGCCAGCAUCAUAUGCUGGCUGUCCAGGUGUGUAAAAUACACCUGUUAGCAAGGGCCGGGCAAGACCGGUGCCAGCCGCCGCGGUAACACCGGCGGCCCGAGUGGUGAUCGUGAUUAUUGGGUCUAAAGGGUCCGUAGCCGGUUUGGUCAGUCCUCCGGGAAAUCUGACAGCUCAACUGUUAGGCUUUCGGGGGAUACUGCCAGACUUGGAACCGGGAGAGGUAAGAGGUACUACAGGGGUAGGAGUGAAAUCUUGUAAUCCCUGUGGGACCACCUGUGGCGAAGGCGUCUUACCAGAACGGGUUCGACGGUGAGGGACGAAAGCUGGGGGCACGAACCGGAUUAGAUACCCGGGUAGUCCCAGCCGUAAACGAUGCUCGCUAGGUGUCAGGCAUGGCGCGACCGUGACUGGUGCCGCAGGGAAGCCGUGAAGCGAGCCACCUGGGAAGUACGGCCGCAAGGCUGAAACUUAAAGGAAUUGGCGGGGGAGCACAA
rnacentral:rRNA from 1 species